rnacentral:tRNA from 1 species
UGGUGGGACCUGCAGGACUUGAACCUGCGACAACACCGUUAUGAGCGGUGCGUUCUAACCAGCUGAACUAAGGUCCC